rnacentral:rRNA from 1 species
GAAAGGCGGACUAAUACCGAAUGACAUCUUGAAUAUUUAGGUAUUCAUGAUCAAAGAUGGCCUCUACAUGUAAGCUAUUGUUUGGGGAUGAGCCCGCGUACCAUUAGCUUGUUGGUAGGGUAAUGGCCUACCAAGGCUACGAUGGUUAGCUGGUCUGAGAGGAUGAUCAGCCACACUGGAACUGACACACGGUCCAGACUCCUACGGGAGGCAGCAGUGAGGAAUUUUGCGCAAUGGGGGAAACCCUGACGCAGCAACGCCGCGUGAGUGAUGAAGGCUUUCGGGUCGUAAAGCUCUGUCAAGUGGGAAGAACUCAUAUGGUGAUAAUACCGCCAUAUGCUGACGGUACCACUGAAGGAAGCACCGGCUAACUCCGUGCCAGCAGCCGCGGUAAUACGGGGGGUGCGAGCGUUAUUCGGAAUUACUGGGCGUAAAGAGCGCGUAGGCGGUCUUUUAAGUCAGGUGUGAAAGCCCGGGGCUCAACCCCGGAAGUGCACUUGAAACUAAGAGACUUGAGUAUGGGAGAGGGAAGUGGAAUUCCUGGUGUAGCGGUGAAAUGCGUAGAUAUCAGGAGGAACAUCAGUG